rnacentral:rRNA from 1 species
GACAGAGGGUGCAAACGUUGUUCGGAAUUACUGGGCGUAAAGCGUGUGUAGGCGGUCCGCUAAGUCGGGUGUGAAAGCCCUGGGCUCAACCCAGGAAGUGCACUCGAAACUGGCGGGCUAGAGUAUCGGAGAGGUUGGUGGAAUUCUCGGUGUAGAGGUGAAAUGCGCAGAUAUCAGGAAGAACACCCGUGGCGAAGGCGGCUCUCUGGGACGGUACUGACGCUGAGACGCGAAAGCGUGGGGAGCAAACAGG